rnacentral:sRNA from 1 species
CUCGUUGUGGAUUUACAGAGAUUUAGUUGGCUAUUCCGUCUGGUCAAAGUGGGCUAUUUGCGAGCACAUAGAAACGGACUGGAUCGCUUGAAGCACGUUUUGAUCAUCACAAUAUAAUCGUAUUAUGGGAAACGUAAAAUUUUCAUUAUUUGACACAGCAAAGGAGACAAACAACUCAAAGCGAAAAUUCUUGGAGCCUUUGUUUUCCUAUUUAUUCAGUAAUUUUCCCUUUCCGCGACAGACUUUUCACAAUUUUCGCGACUAGCGCGGAAAACGACGUCGAUCGACGCACUGCUGCAACUCGCGACUGAGUGAGUGGACAGCGUGACGAUCCCCUUCGAUGCCGCCCUCUGCCGCUGGCGACUGCAGCGCAGCAAAGCAGCUGACGUGGAGAGAAACGAGAGAGCAAGCGCCGCAAGAAGAGCGAAGAGCAGGAGAGCGUCAGUUGCAGUUGGCGAAAAUGAGCGUCAGAUCAAAGAGAUCGCAGCAGACUGAUAAUAAAAGGGAAAUUGUGCUUGCGUGAAUCUAACACUUUUAAUUAGACAUUUUUGAAAUGGAAAAUCAAAAUAAAGAACAUAGUCAUAAGAAAUUUAUGAAGCAAAAUUUAUCAUAUCCCUUUUUGAAUAUAAAAAAAUGUCUAAUUUUAGUAAAAUAUUUUUGUAGCAGUAAAAAUAAAUCCAAUAAAUACUAAACAUAAUUCAAAGUGAGGAAAAUGCAUUCGAUUUCUGUUUAGUAGUACAUAUAUGGCUUUUAAAAUGCCAUUUUUUUCGAGCAUGCUCAAACUCUUCCUCAAAAUCGUUGAAAAGUUGUUGCACUCUCUCCUCUUGGUUUCCUCAAUUUCAUUCGCUUUGUUUCUGUUAAACAUUUUUACUUCCCGUUGUUUAAGAAAGCACACUUUUGUAGAUAUACAGAUCUAUACAGACCAUAUAUAUCUACCAUAUAGCCCGUGAAGUGAAGGCGUGUCGUGUAUCUCAACCGAGACAUGUACCAGAGAUAUCGUCUGCUGGCUGUCUGAUUGUAAUUAAUGUUUUUUAAUGAAACCAAAAAUGGCAAGACAACAAAACUGGACAUUCACAGGGGAACAGGAAGAAAGUUGGGGUUUUGUGGAAGAACCUCUUCUGAUAAUGAUUCGCUGAAUAUGAGAAGAAUAUGCAAGAAGAAACCACAAAGUCAUGCUCAACUACAACUAGAUCCAGUUCACAGUCAAAUUGGGGCAAUUCCAAAAGCAAUUUAGGUUACAUUCCGCAGCAACAAGUGGAAUUGCAUUACAAACUCGGCAACCGAAACCAAGUGAAAGUGCAGACCCCAAGCAAUUAAAACCACCAACCACUGCCGUGAAUACAAAAGCAAAACAAAGGAAAAUAAUUCAGCAAAAAAACAGAAAAAAAGCCUGAUAAUUUCCAGAGAAAUUGCCAGAAAUUCCCUAACUAAGAUAACAAGUGCAAAAGAUAACAAAUAAAUAUAAUAAAAUAUGUCUACCCAGUUCUCAUAAAACCGUAAGAAGUGACUUUAAGACGCGAAACUAGUUUCAAACUGUAAUGGCGCCAUGAAGUUAAGUGCUAAUUUACAAGCUGCCAACACCUACAAUUUCCAACUGAAAAUGGAAAUGCCUUUUCCCCACUCAACAUCAUGCACUCUCUCUUACUCUCUUUGUGUCUACACUGCAAGAAUAAUUUGUGUUAAAUUGUCUAAAGUCAAUGAGUAUCAAUAAUUGUACAUAAAUACACUAUUAAUGUUGUAUACUCGCAAUAUUUUAUAUUCGAAUUUUAUAAAGUAUUAUAUAUUUUAACGUUUGUUACCGUGUACCUGUCUUCUAAAACCAGCUACAGUCAUCAUAGGCGGCAGACUGGCUAAACUGGCUACCAGUUUCGAUCCAGACAGAUAAGGGAAGACCAGACCGGCGAUUAAUGGGUAGCAGAUGACAGCUGUUUAAGCUUUUUGACAUGAGCAACGAAGGAUCUGGUUUUCUAUUUAACCAUGUAAUUGCAAGCGAUAUGAUACGAUUGGAUUGGCUAACUAUAACUAUAAAUUGAUAUAUUCCAUUUUGCGCUAAAUUGAAUCGUUUCCAAUUCGGUAUAAUUUUUUUUUCAGCUGACCUUGGCGCAUCAUUCAAACGUCUCUGGACAAAAAAUCUUCCCACAAGAUGGGAAUUACGUAAUUUCAAGCUAUUCACCUACUAUUAUCUUUAAAUGACAGCCACUUUGCAAAAGCCCACUACAUCCGCUCAGAGCUUCUCGAAACAAUCAAGAUAUUUAAUAUUGGAAACCAUCCAAUAGUUACUUCUCGGUUUCUUUUUUUUUUGUUUGCCAAUUGU